AUGCUGGUUGUGGACACCAACAAUCACUGUAAUGAGCAGCUUUAUUACAGAUUACAUGUGAAUGAAACAAUCAAUAUCUACAUUUUCUGUCUCCUUACAGAGAAGAUGUACAACAAACAUUACGAUCCACCUGAGAAACUUUUGAAGCGCAGCAGCAGCUAUGAAUUCCUGCCUCCUUUCAUGUCUGAGCUGAGGGUUGUUCUGCUGGGGAACAGCUGGUCUGAGAGGAGUUCAGUGGGGAACUUCAUACUGGGAGAGACUAAGUUCAACACUGAGGAAGAACCAGACUGCUUCCUGAGAGAAAGAGUGCAGUUGAAGGGGAAAGAAGUAGUUCUCAUCAACACUCCAGAUCUGCUGCAUCCCCAGACCAUCCGACGGAGCAGACAGGCAGAAUUAAUCUCUGGUCCUGGACCUCAUGUGUUCCUGCUGGUUCUACAGCCUGAAGACUUCACUGAGGAACACAAACUGAAGCUCUGCAGAUUCCUUCAGCUCUUCAAUGAUCGAUCAUUUCAUCAUUGUCUGGUUCUGAUAUCAACACCCAGAGAGGAGAGUCCAGGUUUCAUGGAGAAAUAUCGGCAACAUCCCCCCUUAAAAGACAUGAUCAAACAGUGUCAGUACAGGUUUCUGUGGCAGAAGAAUCUGGAACUUCCAGAGCUGUUAAUACGCUUGGGUCAAAUUGUGAAAGAGAAUAAUGGAGAGCAUCUGAGCUCAGAUCUACCAAUAGAGGAUUUACUCCACAUGUUGUCAACCUGAAGUUGGGUAAGUGAAGAUCUGAGAUGACCACAGUCCAGAAACAGAGUUGAACACCUUCUGACACAUGUUCCUGUGUGAUUGUACAAAAUAUCACUGGAUUUAAUAGGAUCACCUUUUAUCAGGUGAACAAACAACAAGAAUAGAGACCUUGUUAUUGAUCUUUCACUCUACUAUUUUACUUUUACUACUUUAAGAAGGUAAAGCCACUGUCCUGUUGUGAGUUUCUGAGUUUAGCUCAGGAGACUAAUUGCAUUUGAUGACAUCACCUUCCUGCAGGAGCCUAAUUACAGUGGUGGAGGAAGUACUCAUACAUAUUCAAUGUAUUUAAUGAAUUAAAGUAAGGUAGUCGUAUUAUAAUAUAUUAUUGGAAUAUCAUAUCAAAAGCAAUAUUUCCCUCCGAGAUGGAGAAGAAGUGUAUGAUUAAAGUGAUUAAAGUGUCUUUAUGCAAAUUAUUGUUAGUUACACGUAACAUGUGCAUUAUCUCACUCAACAAACAGUCCUGUGUUACUGUCUGACCACAGACCUGUUACUGUUAGUUACAGACACUGUGUAUGUACUGACUGAGAUGUCGAGAUGUUCAUUGUAUUGUACAUACGUUUUUUUUUUAUACCCACUGACUGAUGAUUAAAGAUUUUGGAUUGAACUCUCUGAGCUCUUCUCUUUGAUCUGUCCAUAGAGGUCUUAUCAGCCAGCAGCCCAAAGAGUUUCACUGUCAGCAUCAACAUCUUCAUUGUCUGAACUGUGAAAUGUGGCAGUAAAUUCUCCUUAUUACAUAAUAUUUAUUUAUAACAGCAGCAGAAUGUCAUCCAGUCACAUAUUCAUACAAUAAUAAACCCUCCAGUUAAUGAUCCACCAUGUUGGAACUAAUGCAGUGGAAUACAACAGUCCUGCAGUAAAUCCUCUGUUGAUGAAGGUAAUGUUCAGUUUGUGUUAGUCAGACAGCUUCCUGUCAGUGUUAUAUCAUUAUAUUACUGGAUUAUUGUUAAUAUUAGUAACAG
rnacentral:lncRNA from 15 species